rnacentral:rRNA from 1 species
CCUACGGGUGGCUGCAGUGGGGAAUAUUGGACAAUGGGGGCAACCCUGAUCCAGCCAUGCCGCGUGUGUGAAGAAGGCCCUCGGGUUGUAAAGCACUUUCAGUGAGGAAGAACGCCUGGUGGUUAAUACCCAUCAGGAAAGACAUCACUCACAGAAGAAGCACCGGCUAACUCCGUGCCAGCAGCCGCGGUAAUACGGAGGGUGCGAGCGUUAAUCGGAAUUACUGGGCGUAAAGCGCGCGUAGGUGGCUUGAUAAGCCGGUUGUGAAAGCCCCGGGCUCAACCUGGGAAAGGCAUCCGGAACUGUCAAGCUAGAGUGCAGGAGAGGAAGGUAGAAUUCCCGGUGUAGCGGUGAAAUGCGUAGAGAUCGGGAGGAAUACCAGUGGCGAAGGCGGCCUUCUGGACUGACACUGACACUGAGGUGCGAAAGCGUGGGUAGCAAACAGGAUUAGAUACCCUUGUAGUC